CGAUAUUUAAAACCUCCGGGUAAAAUGUGACACUGGUAUGAUAUCUGUGCGCUUCCGAAUAAUCCUACUUAAAACAUUUAAUGGAGUGCAGUUAAUUUAUACCAACAAGCAUUUUUGGCGCCAUUGCCAGGGAUAGGGUUUAUCUCUAUUUUUAGUUAUGACAAUAGAAGUGUCAACAUAUGGAUUUUUUCCUCUACACCUCGAUAAGUGUGAGCUGUGAGAGCAUGAUCAGAUACACUGC
rnacentral:lncRNA from 1 species